AGAGAUUCUGCUCCUGUAACUCAAAUCAACUGGAAAGUUUAGCCCAUUCCCUCUUUCAUUGCACUAAACAUGAAGGAAUUAGAGGAAAAUAUGCAAAUGUUCUUCUCUUGAACUGUGACAGGAUAUCAGAUACUCAAAAGAUCUUAUACUUGCUAAAUAAUUCUGAUCUUGCAGUUUGUGCAUUGAUGGCCAAAUUAUAAACCCUAAAGGAUAGCUCUGUUCUUAAUUUCGUAGUGUCAUUCUGUUAUCAAGAGAUUCUCUAUUAUUAUUAUUUUCUUUGGGGAUUGUUUUAAAUUUGUUUUUAUAUCCUAUUUGUAUUGUCCUAUAGGCCAAUAAAGGCUUUGCUUUGUGAUGGUUGUUAUUUGUUGCUCCAUCAAGCUCUGUCUCUUUUCUCCUUUCCCAAUCAGCAUUUCCCAAGUUUUCCUCCUUCCUCCAGCAUUCAUGUUUCUCUUUUGCCAGUGCAGAACUUUGCUUUUCCCUGUAGAAAUUGGAGAAACUAAAGGGCACCAUUAGGACUGGGUAUAAACUUGUUUGAAUCUUGGGUGGCCCCAACUGAAGAAUCAAUAUACAUAGCUGUAAGCUAUUCUUGUUGGUCACUCUAGAAUAUGGCAUAAUAUAGUAGGAUGGGAUAGAACAGGUUGCAACUUGAAUGUCUAAGUUCUCAAGUUGGAUCCUGGGAUGCCUGGAAGAAUGGUAUGUGUCUAUGAACAUUUUAAGAUAACUUUCCAUUGUUAUAUACUUACAAGGAAAAAGCAUUAAGUGCUGCUGUGUACAGCUCAAUGCUGAUGUUUUCCCAUGCACAGGAGGAAGUGCAGCAAGAAUGCAGUAAGUACUUAGCUUGUAUAUGUGACCGUUCUGAUAAUAGUUAGUAAUGGUUUUAGUUUAGGAAAGCAGCAGUAAUAUUUUUAAGGCUUACACAAUACCAUUUUAAGCAGACACACACGUGGAUUAGAUAAUGUGGGACUGGUUAUCACUCAUGAUUUUUCUCCCUCAGGGAAGUGAUAGAGAAGAAGCCAGAGAAGUUCAAAAUUGAGUGUUUGAAUGAUAUCAAGAACUUAUUUGGUCCAUGUGAACCUUUCUAUGCUGCUUUUGGAAACAGGCCUAAUGAUGUAUAUGCCUACAUGCAAGUGGGUGUUCCUGACUGUCGAAUAUUCACUGUCAACCCAAAGGGUGAACUCAUCCAGGAACAAACGAAAGGAAACAAGUCUUCAUAUUACAGACUCAGUGAACUUGUCGAACACGUGUUUCCACUUCUUAGCAAGGAACAGAAUUCUGCCUUUGUACGCCCUGAAUUCAGCUCCUUCUGCUUUUGGAGAGAACCACUUCCAGAGGUGAACAUGGAAGAUUUAAUUUGAAUGGCCCUGCUCACACGCCACCUCUUUCUGAAGAGAGGAUACUUUAUCCUUUGGUACCAGAUGUCUUAUUAAAUACAGAAAGUGUCAUAGGUUUGUGUAAGCCAGUGAAAUGCACGGCUUUGUUCUUGUGAUAUCCUUAUUGCAUAAGGCGCUGGAAUGCUAACUAGUUCUUUUAAAUACCAGACCACUGAGACAUUAGAAAACAGCAGAGGGUGGGAAUUUAGGGGCAGCCCAACAAUUUCAUACAUACAAACCAUACUGGAUGCACGAGGUAAUUUGUGCGACUAGUCUCAUUGAUAUAUCAUCUUAAGGGGGGGGGGGGGGGAGUAUGCAGAGCUGAUAUAGACACUGUUAGACCCAAUAUAGGAAUUGUAUCUAGUGCUCAAUUAACUUAGGCUGCUUCAGAUGUUGUAUCUGAGAUUCUUGUGGUUAAAUUCCUUAAUGUCUUCAGAAUUUACUACUCAGUAUUGAAUGCUUGAUAGUCAUUUUGCUGCAUCAGAGAGUACUGAUGGUGGAAGUGGAGAUGGUAUUUGUACUAGCACAUUCUCAUCAUUAUUUUGCCUUGUAACAUUUUUUAAACAACACAGUGACAGGGCUGUCAAAUAUGCCUCCUGUUACUUGUGUCCUACAUAUGUACAUUGCUUCCUUAGCUGCUAUAUAAAAUUGGAAAUCCAUGGCAAAGUAAGAAAACCUUUGCUGUAACAGUUGGCACUUCUUUAAUCUGUGCACACUACAUAGGUCAGUAAGUGUAAUAUACAAAAAAACAAUUCAGGGAUUAACUGUUGUUUUACAAUAAAAAAAGGCAAUGUAUAUAAUCAGUCUGUGAGCCUUGGACUACUGUUAAGCCUUACCAGAAUUCUGCGUGUUGAGGUUCUUCUGUCUGACAAAAGUGGCAUGGGACAAUCAGCUGUCAAUGUCAGUUCUGAUCAGAUGCUUUAUUAGUAACAUAGCAGAUCAAAAUGCAACUGAAGUCCUGAUUUAAGUAGCCAGUUGUCUUACACUUCUUUUAAUUUUAGCUAGCAGAUACCAGUUGAGUUAUCUGGAAACAAUACAGCAGAUUGGGCACGUUUUAGCCCCACACCUUGCUUGGCAGUUGAAGUAUUUUGCAAGCAAAGUGAAACUAACUAGAAAAUUUAUGGUUUUUUAAAAACCACUAACUUGAAAUUAGCUUGGUUUAUGUCUAGUUGAAGCUGGUUAGGUCUAGAAGGGGCAGAAGUGAAAUGCUGGCACCAUGUGUCUAUAAACUGGUGUUUUUCUUGAUCACCCAGAAGAUCCAUAUAAAUAUAUUAAAAUUGCCUCUUUUGUCAGGUAUGAACAACUACGUUUGCAGCUCCAGUAAUUCCUGAAGUUUUCAGUUGAGUGAGCCCUUAUAACAAUGCUGAAGGGCUAGGUGUAGCUCUUGUCCUCAGUUGAAGAAUUACUUAGACUCUCUCACAAAGCCAGAAAAGACUUAUGGCUUAUGCUAAUAUAUUUGUUCAGAAAAUCACUCAAGAAGAAUUAACUAGGCUAAGUGUAAGCGCAGCAAAUUGUAGGCCUUGAAAUUGUGACUUUACAAUGGUCAGGCUGUGUAGUUCAGUGUGGCAAUUGUGAUUUUUUGUUUUGUUUUGGUCAUGAGGUAGAAUUUAACAAUGUACAUUUUUCCUGUCCAAGGAAAGUGCAAAUCGUACAGUGCCAUCAAAACAAAAUUUCCUGUAUUGGGUGAAAUCCAUUUCAAUAAUUGGAAUGUGUUCACUUUCCUAUUGUCUUACUUUAAAGCAUUCUGAAAAUGUGAAAAGGUGAUUGCAGCAGAGAUCCACAAGCUGUGACCAUAACAAUUUCAAAAAAGCUUCUGGAAGAAAAAUUCCUUGCUGUACUGCUAGAUUGGGAAAAUUGUGCUGUUAGUAUGCAUAAUGCUGACGAGUACUCUUGAGUCAUCUCAUUCCAAACAUUAAUUUGAAAUACAUACACGUUUCUUACAAAUAAUAUGCUAUUAUUUAUAAUGUCAGAGUCUGGAUUGGAUAGCAUUAUGCGGCUCUUUAAAUACUACGUUUGGAUUUUACCUCAGUGACUCUAGAGCUGUCCCGUGGUAGACUGUGCCCCAGUAUUCACAAAAUCCCUGUUUAGAACUGCUCCUAUUAAUAAGUAUGCUUGUUGUAGUGGAAACAGAUGAUUUGAAAUCGGUGUUGGGAAGCAAAGCUCCUACUGUAUUUCAGAUCUGCACAAGUUAGCCAAUUCUUUCCAUGAAAGAGCUGAACAUUUAUGUUAGUGGGGAAAAACAGCAAUUUUACAGUUGUUUUGAAAAUGCAUUUCCUCUUACUUUGGAAAUGUAUUGAGCAGCCUGUGCUGCAAAAAUUACUACUUGAAAUUGUCAUACAAAACUAAUGUGACAGUUUUCAAGUAAGGGGCUGGGAAAUCAUAGCCAAAAUCCUUCAGCAUUUGCGUAGGAAUGAACAUGGAAAACACUGCCCAUUAUGCAAGAAAACAAUCAAUUAUUUGUAUUACAGUGUAACCGUCUGGAUUUCUUAUUUCCUUGAUGUGUUCAAAACUAGUAUUGGGAAGGAACAAGUCAAUUUUAAAUACAACAGUGUUUUUCUUAAUAUUCAAGGGUAAAUGUGAUGCUUUAAAAUAUUGUUCUCUUUAAAAUAAAUAAAAUUAAAAUAAUGCUUCAAGAAUUUUGCCCUUAACUAAGACUAUUCAACUAGGGAAUUCUAAUUGAUUUAACUUACACAAAUGUGAACAUGAAGUGUAAGCUGCCCACUGAAGUAAAAAAGUUCCUUAAGGCAACUAAUAUUGAAGAAGUGUAUUACAGUUAUUAAUUUAGGGGCUUGCCUUUUUGCCAAGCAACUACCUUUUGCUAAUCUGAAAGAAAAAUCUGCAUUUUGGUUGUUUUUGAAUGCAAAGGAAGGAGAGAACUCUUCAGUAUGUUGUAUUUAAUUACUGAUAACUGUGUUAUAAAUAUUUUUGCUUUGAGUUUCACUCAACUAUUAAUUGGUGAACAUUCCAGUACGGUGUUUUUGUAAAGACUGAUCUGUUAGGAAAAUAAGUCACUUAUGUGUUUAAUUAAACCAACAAUAAAACCUUACCUAAGAAUA